rnacentral:lncRNA from 1 species
ACACACGCGCGCAAACAAUUCAUUUGCCUUUCUGACUAGAGCUAUACGCAUUUCCACAGCAAGUAAACAUCGUUUCUUAGAGGACUCGUAAUACUCUCAAGGUCACUCUUGAGCUCUUUGUUUCAACACCAGCCUUACCUGGCUUUAUUUCAGUAUCUACCAGUAGGACAGCAAUAACAUGUUUACGUCUUGGUGACAGAUAUUGGACAGUUGCUAUGGGCGAUGAAGUAAACACAACGAAACAUUAUAUGUUAAACAAGACGCUAUUCUAAGGAAAGUGUACAAUGGACACACAAAUAAAUGAUUUCUAAGAGCAGAGAGGGCUUUUUAUGACCUGUGCAGCACGCCUCGUAAUCACAAUAUCCUGUUCAUGUUGUCAAUAGAACACUUCAUUCACAAUGAGUACUUUUAACUGAUACCAUUUAUCGCGUGGACUGUCUUCUUCCGUGUUGGUAGCUUUCGGGGUGGGGAUCAGCAGUGCUAUCGCGGAUCCCUAAGUGAAUCUCGUUCCUGGUUGUUUAAAGUUUAAAACACUCGAGACUUGUUGACGUCAACCUUGUAUUUUACUAUGACAUUGAAAUGUGGGAGGAAGUGUUUAUACAGUCACCUUAUCAAACAAGCCAUUGAAAAUGUCUAACAAGAUGUCUAACAAGACGUCUAACAAGUUCUAAUCAACCAACCCGUUAAGAUGUCUAACAAGAUGUCUAACAAGACGUCUAACAAGUUCUAAUCAACCAACCCGUUAAGAUGUCUGCGCCACAUCCUCAACACCAGAUGGAACGUUAAGAUCUUCAGUACAGACCUGUGGGAGAGAACCAACCUAAAACCUGCCAGUCCCGACAUCAAGAAUCGGAAGUGGGGCUGGAUUGGUCACACCUUGCAAAAGCCAGCCGACAAUUUAAGAAGACAAGGCUGGAAUCCACAGGAGAGGAGCAGGGUUGGGAGACCCAAACAGACAUAUGAAACGGAACCAAAUGUUUUUUAUCACUAACAUGAUGGAUAUAGUCAUUUAAUAUCUUUACAUGAAUAAGUUGUUUUGUUCAAGUCAGUAAAACAAUAUACAUUAGAUACUUUACAUCUUUUUUGGGGAAUAGCAAUAAUAACCUUACUGGAAAUACAGACCGGAGUUUGAAAGAAACUAACGAUGAGAUUAGGAAUUGCUAUUAAGAGUUGAGUUAGUUUGCAGUUUACUUCAUUAUAAGCUCGGCAGUGACUGCUCCUGUACUUUACACUUCCUCCUUUAGAGGAUUAAUUAGAUACUUUGAAGACAAAUCUCGUUUUCUCGAGGACGAUAGCCACACACACACACACGCGCGCAAACAAUUCAUUUGCCUUUCUGACUAGAGCUAUACGCAUUUCCACAGCAAGUAAACAUCGUUUCUUAGAGGACUCGUAAUACUCUCUAGGUCACUCUUGAGCUCUUUGUUUCAACACCAGCCUUACCUGGCUUUAUCUCAGUAUCUACCAGUAGGACAGCAAUAACAUGUUUACGUCUUGGUGACAGAUAUUGGACAGUUGCUAUGGGCGAUGAAGUAAACACAACGAAACAUUAUAUGUUAAACAAGACGCUAUUCUAAGGAAAGUGUACAAUGGACACACAAAUAAAUGAUUUCUAAGAGCA